rfam:Ovis aries breed Texel chromosome 4, whole genome shotgun sequence.
UCCGUGGUGGCUCAGAGCAUAAAGCGUCUGCCUGCAACGCAGGAGAACCAGGUUCGAUCCCUGGGUUGGGAA